rnacentral:lncRNA from 1 species
GUAAGCUGUAACCCAGCACCUGGCCCGAGAGCAGCCUCUGGCUCUUGAGGUUAUGGCUAAUCCUCCCCACAGCCUGGACACUGCUGUGCCGCUCCGUCUUACGCAGGAGGAGACCUUCGCGGCAGGACCUGGUUACCUGCCCAAGGUCAUACAAGCUGAAAGUGGCCAAGCCAAGAUUUGAACCAGGUUUAUCUGGGUCCAAAGCCAUUGCUUCUGGGAGCCGAGUGAGAGAGCCGGGUCUGUGACGCUGUGGGAACUCGCACACCCUCUUGUCAGGCCUGGGAAGGUGUCGUGGAAUGUGGAAGGGGUCUAGUCUUGGAGUUGGG